AGUGAACGCUGGCGGUAGGCCUAACACAUGCAAGCCGAACGGCAGCACAGGAGAGCUUGCUCUCUAGGUGGCGAGUGGCGGACGGGUGAGGAAUACAUCGGAAUCUGCCCAGUCGUGGGGGAUAACGUAGGGAAACUUACGCUAAUACCGCAUACGACCUUCGGGUGAAAGAGGGGGAUCGCAAGACCUCUCGCGAUUGGAUGAGCCGAUGUCGGAUCAGCUAGUUAGCGGGGUAAUGGCCCACCAAGGCGACGAUCCGUAGCUGGUCUGAGAGGAUGAUCAGCCACACUGGAACUGAGACACGGUCCAGACUCCUACGGGAGGCAGCAGUGGGGAAUAUUGGACAAUGGGCGCAAGCCUGAUCCAGCCAUACCGCGUGGGUGAAGAAGGCCUUCGGGUUGUAAAGCCCUUUUGUUGGGAAAGAAAUCUUUCAGGCUAAUACCCUGGGAGGAUGACGGUACCCAAAGAAUAAGCACCGGCUAACUUCGUG
rnacentral:rRNA from 1 species